GACGAACGCUGGCGGCGUGCUUAACACAUGCAAGUCGAACGAAGAGCGAUGGAAGCUUGCUUCUAUCAAUCUUAGUGGCGAACGGGUGAGUAACGCGUAAUCAACCUGCCCUUCAGAGGGGGACAACAGUUGGAAACGACUGCUAAUACCGCAUACGAUCUAAUCUCGGCAUCGAGGAUAGAUGAAAGGUGGCCUCUACAUGUAAGCUAUCACUGAAGGGGGGGAUUGCGUCUGAUUAGCUAGUUGGAGGGGUAACGGCCCACCAAGGCGAUGAUCAGUAGCCGGUCUGAGAGGAUGAACGGCCACAUUGGGACUGAGACACGGCCCAGACUCCUACGGGAGGCGGCAGUGGGGAAUCUUCCGCAAUGGACGAAAGUCUGACGGAGCAACGCCGCGUGAGUGAUGACGGCCUUCGGGUUGUAAAGCUCUGUUAAUCGGGACGAAAGGCCUUCUUGCGAAUAGUGAGAAGGAUUGACGGUACCGGAAUAGAAAGCCACGGCUAACUACGUG
rnacentral:rRNA from 1 species